rnacentral:rRNA from 1 species
CCUACGGGGGGCUGCAGUGGGGAAUAUUGGACAAUGGGGGGAACCCUGAUCCAGCCAUGCCGCGUGUGUGAAGAAGGCCCUCGGGUUGUAAAGCACUUUCAGUGAGGAAGAACGCCUGGUGGUUAAUACCCAUCAGGAAAGACAUAAUUCACAGAAGAAGCACCGGCUAACUCCGUGCCAGCAGCCGCGGUAAUACGGAGGGUGCGAGCGUUAAUCGGAAUUACUGGGCGUAAAGCGCGCGUAGGUGGCUUGAUAAGCCGGUUGUGAAAGCCCCGGGCUCAACCUGGGAACGGCAUCCGGAACUGUCAAGCUAGAGUGCAGGAGAGGAAGGUAGAAUUCCCGGUGUAGCGGUGAAAUGCGUAGAGAUCGGGAGGAAUACCAGUGGCGAAGGCGGCCUUCUGGACUGACACUGACACUGAGGUGCGAAAGCGUGGGUAGCAAACAGGAUUAGAUACCCCGGUAGUC